AGCCUUUUAGAUCUGUAAGAAAGUGUAUUUAGAGUUUCAGACCUUAAUUAACAUUUUAUUCAUAAGGGUUAGGACAAUUUCUUGAAGCCUCUUUUAACUUUUAUGUGGAUUUUAUGCUUUAGUGUAAUAUAGUGUAGUUUAGAUCUCACUGUUCUUGAAUGAUCAUGAUACGAAUCUCUCUUCUUUGGAUGUUGUUGUUGUAUGGGUAUUAGAUGAACAAUGAAACAUGAGGUUAUAUACUAUUCUAUAUUAUUGAUUUCCUCUAAAAAUCUAAGGAUGAUUGGUUAGAAGUUGUUCGAUGCAUUUGAUGUUUACUUUAGUAGACAUUCUUGCUGGAGUUUCCUUUCAAAAAUCAGUUUGUGUUCUAUUAGGAACUUUUCAUUUACUAAUUUGUUAAUGCCCUUAUUUUAUCCAAUUCAUGUUAGUUAGAGACACUCAUCUUAAACACCCUUGAACUUUUCUUUCUAAAUGGUUGAUGUAAUUUAUUUGUCCAUUGGCGGUUGUAAUUUAUUUGUCGACACAUGCUCUUGAACAAAGUACUCUCAAGUAGCAGCACCGCUUUCCACAUAGCAGCAUGUAGCCUCAAGUUUAUUAGCUUAUUUGAACAAACGGUAUCAUCUCUAUUUUCGACAUGUUCUAUGUUUGCGGCCUUUUUGUCAAUUUUGCAUUCUUGUUUCUUUGAGUUAGUGUGUUCUUUCGGCGUUUUGAGCGUUGAUGCUUUCUUGCUUCUCUGAGUUAUUGCGUGCAGGUAUUUCUUCUUCACUAAUUCUUUUAAUAGAGAUAUUGGUUCCGAUUAAAUUCUUAUUCAUUUCAAUAAGAUUAUAUGGGCAUUAAAUUGUUAAAAGUACGAGAUUUCGUAUUAAUUCUCUACUACUAUUUAUGUAUGUACUUUUUAAAGAUAAAAAAAUCUAAGGAGAAGACUAUGAGAGUGCUUAUUCUAUACCGACAUGUUGGAUCACAUGAUUUUGUACAUAAUGAUAACUCAAUUUCUCAACAAGGUAUUAAAAUAAAGUUUCUUAAGAAUUGGUAUUGUAUCAUGAAAUGACUUGACUUUAAUUCUAUAAAUUAAUAGUUUUGGUAUAUUGAAUAACUAGGCUCCAUGACAGGUCCAUACCGAGAAGGGGGGCAUAAGUAUAUGCCAUGUUUUGAUUCAUUUGAUUCCACUAAACAUAUGUACGUGAUUUUUUCUUAUAUUCCUUUGUUUUAGAUGUCUAGUUAUGUUCUUUUUUUUUUUGGAAAAAAGAAUUAGUGUGAUAUUUGAAAACAUUUAUUGUAAUAUGUAGAUGUGUAUACUUCAUGAUCAUGCAAUUGUUACCAUUGUUGUGCAGGAAGUAAAUAAGGCAAGACUUGUCGACGUGUUUGUGUUGUAGUCUGUAGUGCAGGUGGUGAGUUGCUUGUCGAUGGUCACCUAUGGUUUUCCUUGUACAAAGUUAUUGGUUUCGGUUGGUAGCUUAAUUAUAAUGAUGUUGAUGCAUCCAUUUGUUUUAGCUCCUGCUGCUGGUGUUGCUCUGGUUUUUCUCUAGUGCCUCCAAGUCCGGCUAAUGUGUUCUUGUUCGUUGAUCUAUUUUCUGCAAGCCUGAAGAGUUUUAGUGUAUAAGUGUUUGGUUUUGCUUUUGGAAUUUUAGUAUUUCUUUAUAGAGAAGUUUAGUUUGUAUUUUGUUUCAUGGUUUUUUAGUUGUACUUAGCAUAAGUUGUAGGUGUGUAACUUUUGUCCCAAUUUUGGUCCGUCUUGAGUUUGGAUUAGUAUUAAUCAAAUUUAUUUUUCGAUAAAAACAGUCUCUAAAUUUGUAUGUUUAAGGAAUAAAUGAAAGAAAUGAAAAUGACCC
rnacentral:lncRNA from 1 species